rnacentral:rRNA from 1 species
GACGAACCGUCCUAACGUUGUUCGGAAUCACUGGGCUUAAGGGCGCGUAGGCGGCCCUGUAAGUCGGGGGUGAAAGCCCACGGCCCAACCGUGGAAGUGCCUCCGAUACUGCGGGGCUCGAGGGAGGUAGGGGCAGCGGGAACUUCCGGUGGAGCGGUGAAAUGCGUUGAUAUCGGAAGGAACGCCGGUGGCGAAAGCGCGCUGCUGGACCUCUGCUGACGCUGAGGCGCGAAAGCCAGGGGAGCAAACGGG